rnacentral:rRNA from 1 species
GCAGCCGCGGUAAUACGGAGGGUGCGAGCGUUAAUCGGAAUUACUGGGCGUAAAGGGUGCGUAGGUGGUUUAAUAAGUUAUCUGUGAAAUCCCUGGGCUCAACCUGGGAAGGUCAGAUAAGACUGUUUGACUCGAGUAUGGGAGAGGGUAGUGGAAUUUCCGGUGUAGCGGUGAAAUGCGUAGAGAUCGGAAGGAACACCAGUGGCGAAGGCGGCUACCUGGCCUAAUACUGACACUGAAGCACGAAAGCGUGGGGAGCAAACAGGAUUAGAUACCCUGGUAGUCCACGCCGUAAACGAUGUCAACUAGCUGUUGGA